rnacentral:ncRNA from 1 species
UGUCGGUUUUACCGAGCGUAAAAGAGGAAAAUGGGUGUAAAUCCUAUACUAUGAAAGUAGCUGUAAUGAGGAGCAAUAUUUCAUUUUAGUGUCACUGGGAAACUGGGAAGGCAGAGAUGUUGUGAUGAAUCAAUAGUCAGAAAGCCUGCUCAAUCUAAU